rnacentral:rRNA from 1 species
GACGUAGGGCGCGAGCGUUGUCCGGAUUUAUUGGGCGUAAAGAGCUCGUAGGCGGCUUGUCGCGUCGACUGUGAAAACCCGCGGCUCAACCGCGGGCCUGCAGUCGAUACGGGCAGGCUAGAGUUCGGUAGGGGAGACUGGAAUUCCUGGUGUAGCGGUGAAAUGCGCAGAUAUCAGGAGGAACACCGAUGGCGAAGGCAGGUCUCUGGGCUGACACUGACGCUCAUGCACGAAAGCGUGGGGAGCAAACAGG